rnacentral:SRP_RNA from 2 species
GCCGGGCAUGGUGGCGCAAGCCUGUAGUCCCAGCUACUCGGGAGGCUGGGGCAGGAGAAUCACUUGAGCCCAGGAGUUGGAGGCCGCAGUGAGCUGUGAUCAUGCCACUGCAUUCCAGCCUGGGCGACAGAGUGAGACCCAGACUCAG